AAGUAAUUGUGAAAGUGUUCUUAAUUACUGAAAAUAAGCAAGCCUCCUUGGACAGUCUGCUAACUGAGGUGUUCCAGAGAAGAUAGUGAAAUAGACUUAACUUCAGCCAGGAGAUGUUGGGAUGUCCAGGCACUGGUAUGCAAACACGUGUGGAGCACAGAUGGGGCCUGAGGGAGCACGCUGCUCACCUCAAAGUUGGAAAGCAAGGGGCAGGUAAAGGUGCUGACGGUGGCCAGGCAUGAAGUGCUGCAGCAGGAGAGGGGACAGGUGACAGUGCCCUCCAGCAAUGAAGAAGUCCAUCUGCCACUAACUAGUGAUGCCAUGGAGCAGAGGCUGCCCGGUGACAUGUGCUUGGGGAAAGAGGUCGGAGCAGAAGAAACAGGAAGUGCAAAGGCCCUGAGGCAGCAGAGAGUGAGUGAAAGGUGACAAAUGGGAGGGUAGGCUAACAGAAUGGGAUGGAGGGACACGUGGCCUGGCCACCACACCCAGCUUCCCCCUGGAGACUGGAGGAGAAGAGACGAGGUGGGGAGGGACGAGAGGCAGGGACAAGAGGCGGGCAGGGCCAGUGAGGAGUCUUCUAACUAUGCUGCCAG
rnacentral:lncRNA from 1 species